rnacentral:rRNA from 1 species
AUGAACGCUGGCGGCGUGCCUAAUACAUGCCAGUCGCGCGAACAGACGAGGAGCUUGCACCUCUGACGUUAGCGGCGGACGGGUGAGUAACACGUGGAUAACCUACCUAUAAGACUGGGAUAACUUCGGGAAACCGGAGCUAAUACCGGAUAAUAUAUUGAACCGCAUGGUUCAAUAGUGAAAGACGGUUUUGCUGUCACUUAUAGAUGGAUCCGCGCCGCAUUAGCUAGUUGGUAAGGUAACGGCUUACCAAGGCAACGAUGCGUAGCCGACCUGAGAGGGUGAUCGGCCACACUGGAACUGAGACACGGUCCAGACUCCUACGGGAGGCAGCAGUAGGGAAUCUUCCGCAAUGGGCGAAAGCCUGACGGAGCAACGCCGCGUGAGUGAUGAAGGUCUUCGGAUCGUAAAACUCUGUUAUUAGGGAAGAACAAAUGUGUAAGUAACUAUGCACGUCUUGACGGUACCUAAUCAGAAAGCCACGGCUAACUACGUG